rnacentral:rRNA from 1 species
GCCAAGCUUGCUUGGUGGAUCAGUGGCGAACGGGUGAGUAACACGUGAGCAACCUGCCCUGGACUCUGGGAUAAGCGCUGGAAACGGCGUCUAAUACUGGAUAUGAGCUCUCAUCGCAUGGUGGGGGUUGGAAAGAUUUUUUGGUCUGGGAUGGGCUCGCGGCCUAUCAGCUUGUUGGUGAGGUAAUGGCUCACCAAGGCGUCGACGGGUAGCCGGCCUGAGAGGGUGACCGGCCACACUGGGACUGAGACACGGCCCAGACUCCUACGGGAGGCAGCAGUGGGGAAUAUUGCACAAUGGGCGGAAGCCUGAUGCAGCAACGCCGCGUGAGGGAUGACGGCCUUCGGGUUGUAAACCUCUUUUAGCAGGGAAGAAGCGAGAGUGACGGUACCUGCAGAAAAAGCGCCGGCUAACUACGUGCCAGCAGCCGCGGUAAUACGUAGGGCGCAAGCGUUAUCCGGAAUUAUUGGGCGUAAAGAGCUCGUAGGCGGUUUGUCGCGUCUGCUGUGAAAUCCCGAGGCUCAACCUCGGGCCUGCAGUGGGUACGGGCAGACUAGAGUGCGGUAGGGGAGAUUGGAAUUCCUGGUGUAGCGGUGGAAUGCGCAGAUAUCAGGAGGAACACCGAUGGCGAAGGCAGAUCUCUGGGCCGUAACUGACGCUGAGGAGCGAAAGGGUGGGGAGCAAACAGGCUUAGAUACCCUGGUAGUCCACCCCGUAAACGUUGGGAACUAGUUGUGGGGACCAUUCCACGGUUUCCGUGACGCAGCUAACGCAUUAAGUUCCCCGCCUGGGGAGUACGGCCGCAAGGCUAAACUCAAGGAAUUGACGGGGACCCGCACAAGCGGCGGAGCAUGCGGAUUAAUUCGAUGCA